GCUAUUGGAGUUCGAUUAAGCCAUGCGAGUCGAGAGUCUUAGGGACUCGGCGUACCGCUCAGUAACACGUGGGUAACCUGCCCUAUGCUGGGGAAUAACCUCGGGAAACUGAGAAUAAUGCCCCAUAGUCCACAAUGCCUGGAACGGUUUGUGGAUCAAAGCUCCGGCGGCAUAGGAUGGGCCUGCGGCGUAUCAGGUUGUAGGGGGUGUAACGUACCCUCUAGCCAUCAACGCGUACGGGUGUUGGGAGACAUAGCCCGGAGAUGGAUUCUGAGACACGAAUCCAGACCCUACGGGGUGCAGCAGGCGCGAAAACUUGGCAAUGCGAGAAAUCGUGACCAGGGAACUCCAAGUGGCUGGGGUAAGACCCAGUCUUUUCUUGACUCUUCAAAGGUCUUGGAAUAAGGGGUGGGUAAGGACGGUGCCAGCCGCCGCGGUAAUACCGGCGCCUCAAGUGGUAGUCGAUUUUAUUGGGCCUAAAACGUCCGUAGCCUGUUUGGUACAUUCGUGGGUAAAUCAACCAGCUCAACUGGUUGAAUUCUGCGAGCACGGCCAGACUUGGGACCGGGAGAGGUGUGGGGUACGCUCAGGGUAGGGGUAAAAUCCUGUCAUCCUGAGCGGACCACCUGUUGCGAAGGCGCCACACUAGAACGGAUCCGACGGUCAGGGACGAAGCCUAGGGGCACGAACCGGAUUAGAUACCCGGGUAGUCCUAGGUGUAAACGCUGUGGACUUGGUGUUGGGGACUCUCCGAGAUUCCUCAGUGCCGAAGCGAAGGUGAUAAGUCCACUGCCUGGGGAGUACGGUCGCAAGGCUGAAACUUAAAGGAAUUGCCGGGGGAGCACCGC
rnacentral:rRNA from 1 species